AGUGAACGCUGGCGGUAGGCCUAACGCAUGCAAGUCGAACGGCAGCACAGUAAGAGCUUGCUCUUACGGGUGGCGAGUGGCGGACGGGUGAGGAAUACAUCGGAGUCUACUUUUUCGUGGGGGAUAACGUAGGGAAACUUACGCUAAUACCGCAUACGACCUACGGGUGAAAGCAGGGGAUCUUCGGACCUUGCGCGAUUGAAUGAGCCGAUGUCGGAUUAGCUAGUUGGCGGGGUAAAGGCCCACCAAGGCGACGAUCCGUAGCUGGUCUGAGAGGAUGAUCAGCCACACUGGAACUGAGACACGGUCCAGACUCCUACGGGAGGCAGCAGUGGGGAAUAUUGGACAAUGGGCGCAAGCCUGAUCCAGCCAUACCGCGUGGGUGAAGAAGGCCUUCGGGUUGUAAAGCCCUUUUGUUGGGAAAGAAAAGCAGCAGGUUAAUACCCCGCUGUUCUGACGGUACCCAAAGAAUAAGCACCGGCUAACUUCGUG
rnacentral:rRNA from 1 species